GCUCAGAACGUACGCUGGCGGCACGCCUAACACAUGCAAGUCGAACGAAGUAGCAAUACUUAGUGGCAGACGGGUGAGUAACAUGUAGGUAUCUGCCCUUUGGCCUGGAAUAACACGAGGAAACUUGUGCUAAUACCGGAUAAGUCUUUACGGAGAAAGCUUUAUGCACCAUUGGAUGAGCCUGCACUUGAUUAGUUUGUUGGUGGGGUAAUGGCCUACCAAGACUUUGAUCAAUAGCUGAUUUGAGAGGAUGAUCAGCCACAUUGGGACUGAGACACGGCCCAAACUCCUACGGGAGGCAGCAGUGGGGAAUCUUGCACAAUGGAGGAAACUCUGAUGCAGCGAUGCCGCGUGAGUGAAGAAGGCCCUUGGGUUGUAAAGCUCUUUCGUCGGGGAAGAAAAUGACUGUACCCGAAUAAGAAGGUCCGGCUAACUUCGUGCCAGCAGCCGCGGUAAUACGAAGGGACCUAGCGUAGUUCGGAAUUACUGGGCUUAAAGAGUUCGUAGGUGGUUGAAAAAGUUGGUGGUGAAAUCCCAGAGCUUAACUCUGGAACUGCCAUCAAAACUUUUCAGCUAGAGUAUGAUAGAGGAAAGCAGAAUUUCUAGUGUAGAGGUGAAAUUCGUAGAUAUUAGAAAGAAUACCAAUUGCGAAGGCAGCUUUCUGGAUCAUUACUGACACUGAGGAACGAAAGCAUGGGUAGCGAAGAGGAUUAGAUACCCUCGUAGUCCAUGCCGUAAACGAUGUGUGUUAGACGUUGGAAAUUUAUUUUCAGUGUCGCAGCGAAAGCGAUAAACACACCGCCUGGGGAGUACGACCGCAAGGUUAAAACUCAAAUGAAUUGACGGGGACCCGCACAAGUAGUGGAGCAUGUGGUUUAAUUCGAAGAUACGCGCAGAACCUUACCAACACUUGACAUGUUCGUCGCGACUUUAAGAGAUUAAAGUUUUCGGUUCGGCCGGACGAAACACAGGUGCUGCAUGGCUGUCGUCAGCUCGUGUCGUGAGAUGUUGGGUUAAGUCCCGCAACGAGCGCAACCCUCACUUUUAGUUGCCAUCAUUAAGUUGGGCACUCUGAAAGAACUGCCAGUGAUAAGCUGGAGGAAGGUGGGGAUGACGUCAAGUCCUCAUGGCCCUUACGUGUUGGGCUACACACGUGCUACAAUGGUAUCUACAACAGGAAGCAAGACGGCGACGUCAAGCAAAUCCUUAAAAGAUACCUCAGUUCGGAUUGCACUCUGCAACUCGAGUGCAUGAAGCUGGAAUUACUAGUAAUCGUGGAUCAGCGUGCCACGGUGAAUGCGUUCCCGGGUCUUGUACACACCGCCCGUCACACCAUGGGAGUUGGUUCUACCUUAAGGCAAGGUUUAAAAUCCUUGACCACGGUAUAGUCAGCGACUGGGGUGAAGUCGUAACAAGGUAGCCGUAGGGGAACCUGCGGCUG
rnacentral:rRNA from 1 species